CCUGGAUAUCCGGAUUUUUGCCUGUCCCCUGUCUGCAGCCCCGACAGACGCAGCGGAUCUCCUCACUGUUAUUGCAGUACAGGAAUUCUGCCGGCUCGCUCCAAUUUCUCCCGCCGGCUAGCGGGCUACGAGACC